GCAUUAGAGAAGAACUAAGACACAGGAGCAGCUCCUCAGAGGAGAAGAAUUGGAAUCAUUAAAAUUGCAUCAAGAGUGAGGUGGCAGGAUGGAGAACAUGCUGGAAUGUGCAUUCAUAGUCUUGUGGCUUCAGCUUGGAUGGCUGCGCGGAGAAGACCGAGUGGAGCAGAGUCCUCGGACCCUGAGAACCCAGGAGGGGGACAGUCUCAGCCUCAACUGCAGCCACACCGUCAGCGGUUUCAGAGCGUUACAGUGGUAUAGACAAGACCCCGGGAAGGGCCCUGAACUCCUCUUCCUUCUUUACUCAGCUGGGGAUGAAAAGCAGAAAGAAAGACUGAGAGCCACCUUGUUAAAGAAGGGAAGUUCUCUGCACAUCGAAGCCCCCAAACCCGAAGACUCAGCCACUUACCUCUGCGCUGUGCAGACACAGUGCUCCCCAGGCACCUGCAGACUGUACCCAAACCCUGAGGCUGCGGCUCUAGAAUAAGGGUGUCUUUGCUAUUUUCCUGCCUCCUGAGCACCCAGAGCCUCUUCC